UCUCUCUCUCUCUCUCUCUCUCGCAGAGGGGGAGGAGGAGGACAUUUGUUGCAUCUUCCUCUCUUGGCUGAACUGGAUUAUAAUAUAGCAUAUCGACCACCAUGUUUCACCGCCGGAGCAAUUCCCAUCGGGAUCAGGAGGAUGAUUCACUGCGACAUGAGUCUAAGGUCAAUGAGCUAAGGAAUGCAAUUGGGCCAAUAACAGGACGCAGUUUACAAUAUUGCACUGAUGCAUGUUUGAGAAGAUAUCUGGAAGCUCGUAGCUGGAAUGUGGACAAAGCGAAGAAAAUGCUGGAGGAGACACUUAAAUGGAGAUCGACUUAUAAGCCUGAAGAGAUUCGUUGGGUAGGUUUGGUUUUUUUUCCUUGAUGUUGAUCAUUGUAAAAGCCCUGUAAUAUCCAGUUUAUUUUGAGAUGGAACUGUAACAAUUUCCCUGGUCAUGAAACUGAUUUUGUCUCAGCAUGAGGUUGCUAUUGAAGGGGAAACAGGUAAAGUGUAUAGAGCAAAUUUUCAUGACAGACAGGGAAGAACUGUACUUAUACUGAGGCCAGGAAAGCAGAAUACAAAAUCAUUAGACAAUCAGCUCCGACAUUUGGUGUAUCUCUUAGAGAACGCCAUACUUAACCUUCCAGAGGGCCAAGAACAAAUGGCAUGGUUGAUAGACUUCACUGGAUGGUCGAUAAGCAAUAGUGUGCCCAUCAGAACAGCUCGUGAUACUAUUAAUAUACUACAGAACCACUAUCCUGAGAGGCUAGCCAUAGCAUUUCUGUACAAUCCUCCACGGAUUUUUGAAGCAUUCUGGAAGGUUUGAGUUCUUACUUCUGCAUUCUGGUUUUGAAAAUGAAUAUUAGAAAUCCUUCGGCUUGAAACCACCAAUCAUGCUGAUAAUCUGUCCGACCAUGUGUCCUAGCAGAUUAGACAAUAAUUUAUCAUUCCAUCAGGCAUAAUAACUUUCUAAAAUGUGAUAUUAAAUAAUCUAAAAUUGGUAGUUGCUAUAAUCCAUGAUGCCUCCUUGUCUUUGGUUUCUAAAAGCUAGAGAGCACCAUAACAUCUUAUAUUGUUCUAUUCCAUGGCUUUCUGAUUGCAGUAGGUUCUUGCUUUUAUGUUUUCCGGGCAUACUAAUUAGAUAAUUUAAGUUAUUAUUUAAAGGAUCAAUUCUUUUCUUUUCCAAUUAAAAUACCUAUGGAAUAACCCAGAAACUACAUGGAUCAAUAUGGCCUGCAAAAAUUCUUUAGUGAUUAUGAAAAACAGCAACUGUUCAUCUCAUUUUUGCCAACACUUUCUCCUGUCCUUACCUCUUAUUUAGAGAGGAUGGGGCAUGUAACAAUUCUUUUAAUGUUUAAUCAUUAAAUCCGUUGUAUUUGGAAUGAUAAGUGACCUUACAAGAUUUGACAUAAUGAGUUGUGUUGAUGCAUGCAGAUUGUGAAGUAUUUCUUGGAUGCCAAAACAUUCCAGAAGGUGAAGUUUGUGUACCCUAAGAAUGUUGAUAGUGUAGAACUUAUGAGGUCAUAUUUUGAUGAUGAAAAUCUGCCAACUGAGUUUGGGGGAAAAGCCAUGUUGGAGUAUGACCAUGAAGAGUUCUCAAGAUUAAUGACUCAAGACGAUGUCAAGGCUUCCUCGUUCUGGGGAUUUGACAAUAAACAUCAACAAGCUACAAAUGGGCAUCAUGGUGCUGAGGUGGCUCCAGAGCCAAUGGCGUAGUUCCCCCAGCUAUCUAGCUUCCCACCUUUGGUGUGUUAGUGUAACGGAACUAUGGAAGUAUAGAUCCACCAUUGUAUGUAAGCUCUUAAACGUAAACCAGCUGGUGGAUGGGUCAUUAUCUUUAUCUUUGCUAACAAAAGCUGUCAGCAUUAGCAAUGUUUAUGGGCUUCUAGGUUCGAGCUAGAAUAAUAGAAAUGUAACCAUCUUAUGUUACUUAAGGUCAAGAGGAGCCCUAUUUUUUUUCUCCUUGUACUGUUUCUAAUCCUUUUAUAAUUAUCCAUCCCCAGCAACCCAGGAAUUCAGUAUAAUUAGUUUACAUCACUUAAAACCAAGAAAAGGAUGCCACCUAAUCAUUUCUCUUCUCAACUUACAUUAUCAGAAUGAUCAAUGGGCUGUUCAAGUACUAAAUUUGAGAUGAGGAGAACAUAUGCUGCCCUGGCUUCUCAAAAACAGAUUUUAUUUACAGGGAAAAACAAGCCAUUCUAACUUUAUACGUAUAAACAUUGACAUCAAUGUUAGGGACUUUGAUAGCUUCCUACUAGUAGCAUCUGUGUCAUACCCUUGUACAUAAACACCACGUUUCAUUAGAGGCUCUGAGGAGAAACACAAGAAACAAAUGAAAGUAGGUCACUACACAGAGAACUCACCGAGUCAAAAGUCUUGCAGUUGAAGGUAACUAGGUAUUUAGCAGCUCAGAAAAGAGGAAUCACACGAGCCCUCUCUUAAAGUUUCGAGUGGUUGCUUGGUAUGUACGAACUAGCAAACCAACUCCUAUACCAAUUCCAAGACAAAUACCAAGCCCAAUUCCUACGCCAACCCUUACUCCAGCAUUGAACCAUGAUAGUUCACCAUCUUCACCCUCCAUAUAUGCACUCCUCCAGUACAUGUUAUUAUAAUCUUCUUCAUUUUCUAGUUUGUAACUUCUGUAAUCUGCUAUCUGCAGAUCAUGUUGGGCUGAAACAUUUUUUGGGGAUUCAGUCGUCUCAUUCUCUGGAAUUGAAUCCAGCAUGCCCUUCCUAAUAUGCUUCUUGCAAUGACUAAGCUGAAAAGUCUUGGUUAAUAUGAUGGGUGUUCCAGAGAAGCACCCUGUAACAUAAACCUCAAUGGUUGGUAAGUCAGUACUAGUAAUUUGUUUCCCCUUCAAGAAGCCAGAACCAGCUGCAAUCUCUGGUUCACAAUUCAUUCUCCACCGCUUCACUUUGCUUUUUGAUUCCCCAACAAAACCAUUACUGUUAGACAUCUCCAGAACCCCAGAUAGAAUUAGAUCCUCUUUGUGGAAAACCUCAAAUUUCACACUACUUGUGAUUCUAAUGCUAUCUGUGCUAACAAAUGUAGCUUCUUCAGAUUUCUUAUCCACUCGAUCCCUUCUGAGAAGGAAAGAGACACCAUCAGAGUACAUGCUGCUUCUAACACCAUUGACUUCCAAAAGGGUGUCUGGCCUGAGAGGGAUAUGGUUGAGAGUGAGAAAUUCUGGAUUCGAAGCAUCGACCUGGAAAUUACUAAUCCUGACAUAAAAGACUCUCAAAUCAAACCAAGGCGAUGAAAAUUUGGUGCAGGUUUGGAAUGGAGAAAGUCUAAUGAUCUGAAGAUUGGAAUUUGCAGCUUCACCAAUGCAGGAUGUUUCGUUAGCACCCUCCAUGACAAGCCACGGAGCUUAAUCCUCACUGAAAAAUUGAAUUGGAACGGAUUGAUUACAUCAAGAAAAUGUUCGACCCAUGGUUUGAAAGUGAGAGCAAUCCACUAAGGAAUUUAUACGGCUCUAGGACCCAGCCGACUUCUCAAAUCGCCUCCAAGCCGUAGCCAGCACUUUUAGGAGCUGUCUGGCUAGCAGUCUCCGACGUGUGAUUCUGAAUCCGUAAUGUUUGCCAAGCGUAUUUUUCGAUUCGUCUAGCACUGGUCUUUGUCCCUGUUCAUCGGGUGUUUGCAGCAAAAUUUCCCCGUUUCUCUGGCUUUAAAGGCGCUGAGCAAGGGACUUUGGUUGAGUGGAGUGUUUGAGCACCACUAUACUGUUAAUGUGUUAUUUUCCUUGCUCGGUUGAGUUUGAUUAGUAGUCUACUCUUGAUAUCCAAUGGCAAGAUGUUAUAGAAGAAGAUGGGUGAUGACUGCUGAUAAAGUGUUGCAGAUGAGCCUCGCGUAUACCUAGUUCACCUCUAGGGUUCUAUCUAUUGGGCUUGGAUUUGGAUUGAACUGUUUGUAGCAAAGUUAAUUUUUUAUGGGCCUUGCUUUAAUCAUUUUAUUUCAUCUAAUGAAAAAAAGUGAAAGGACAGUGCUCAGACUGACACACAGUGUCCGAGUCGUAUCCUCACAGAGGAGCAUGGUAUGGUAACCACACCCACGUAAAAUCCACAGCUCUUGUUCAGUAAAGCCUUUAGUCCAACCCUAACCAUGGUUUACUCUUAGAUUAGGGCGUUAGGCUCCUUUCGUUUUUUUUUUU
rnacentral:misc_RNA from 1 species